rnacentral:rRNA from 1 species
GACGAACGCUGGCGGCGUGCUUAACACAUGCAAGUCGAACGGUAAGGCCCUUCGGGGUACACGAGUGGCGAACGGGUGAGUAACACGUGGGUGAUCUGCCCUGCACUUCGGGAUAAGCCUGGGAAACUGGGUCUAAUACCGGAUAGGACCACUGCCUGCAUGGGUGGUGGUGGAAAGCUUUUGUGGUGUGGGAUGGGCCCGCGGCCUAUCAGCUUGUUGGUGGGGUGAUGGCCUACCAAGGCGACGACGGGUAGCCGGCCUGAGAGGGUGACCGACCACACUGGGACUGGGAUACGGCCCAGACUCAUACGGGAGGCAGCAGUGGGGAAUAUUGCACAAUGGGCGCAAGCCUGAUGCAGCGACGCCGCGUGAGGGAUGACGGCCUUCGGGUUGUAAACCUCUUUCAGCACCGACGAAGCGCAAGUGACGGUAGGUGCAGAAGAAGGACCGGCCAACUACGUGCCAGCAGCCGCCGUAA